rnacentral:rRNA from 1 species
CAGUCGCCGCGGUAAUACGGAGGGGGCUAGCGUUGUUCGGAAUUACUGGGCGUAAAGCGCACGUAGGCGGCUUGGUAAGUUAGAGGUGAAAGCCUGGAGCUCAACUCCAGAAUUGCUUUUAAGACUGUCGAGCUAGAAUCCAGAAGAGGGUAGUGGAAUUCCGAGUGUAGAGGUGAAAUUCGUAGAUAUUCGGAAGAACACCAGUGGCGAAGGCGACUACCUGGUCUGGCAUUGACGCUCAUGUGCGAAAGCGUGGGGAGCAAACAGGAUUAGAUACCCCUGUAGUCCCUGUCUCUUAUAC